rnacentral:rRNA from 1 species
ACUCAAAUGAAUUGACGGGGACCCGCACAAGCGGUGGAUGAUGUGGAUUAAUUCGAUGCAACGCGAAAAACCUUACCUACCCUUGACAUGGUCGGAAUCCUGCAGAGAUGUGGGAGUGCUCGAAAGAGAACCGGCGCACAGGUGCUGCAUGGCUGUCGUCAGCUCGUGUCGUGAGAUGUUGGGUUAAGUCCCGCAACGAGCGCAACCCUUGUCAUUAGUUGCUACGAAAGGGCACUCUAAUGAGACUGCCGGUGACAAACCGGAGGAAGGUGGGGAUGACGUCAAGUCCUCAUGGCCCUUAUGGGUAGGGCUUCACACGUCAUACAAUGGUACGUACAGAGGGAAGCCAACUCGCGAGAGGGAGCAAAUCUCAGAAAGCGUAUCGUAGUCCGGAUUGUAGUCUGCAACUCGACUACAUGAAGUCGGAAUCGCUAGUAAUCGCGGAUCAGCAUGUCGCGGUGAAUACGUUCCCGGGUCUUGCACACACCGCCCGU